AAUUCUCAACUCUCUUAUACUUUGUUGUAGAAGAGGGCUUGGAUUGUGGAGGCUUGCUGGCCACUUGCUGGGGUCAGCUCCUCUGAAAUGCAUUAGCGGAACCGUUUGCGAUCUGCCACAAGUGUGAUAAAUUAUCUACACUGGCGAGGGGAUUGCUCUCUGUUGUUCAGCUUCCAAUCGUCUCAGGACAAUUUUUCUGAAU
rnacentral:misc_RNA from 1 species